GUUGGAGUGUCAAACAAAAUUGAGACUCUGCAGAUUCUUAACCUCCCUAAUCUGAAGAGUAUAUGCAACAAUAAUUUACAAGUUGAGAGAUUCAGUAAUCUUAAGCAUCUGUAUCUAGAAUGUUGUCCGCUACUGGAAAUUGUUUUCUCCUUGUCCCGACAACCAAUGAAUCUUCGGACUCUUGAGAUUAGGUUUUGUGACAAUCUCAAACGUGUAUUUGAGUUUGAUGGAACAACAGUGUCUUCAAUGAAACAUCUAAGGACUCUGCAUUUGUUUGAGCUGCCGGAGUUGAAAAGCAUCGGAGCUGCGUUGCCUUCUCUUGAAAGAUUAACAGGGGGAGAAUGCCCAAAACUUGAUGUCUUUUUUACAUGCUUCUUUAUUUUUGUUUGGGCAAUACAAAACUGGAGUAUGACCCUAAUUUCUGCAGUUGAGGAACAAUCUGAUGACAGUCAGGCCUGCCUUGGUUUGCCGAAGUUCCCUCCCCGAAUAAAACACAUAGCCUCUCAGAAAACAAAUGAAAUUACACAUGAAUGAAGACUUCCAGAACUUUUAGAAAUAACUCCAGGUACCAUGGUUUCUUUGGAUGGUGAGAAGCGGUCCGAUUUGGAGCUUUAUAUUUUCUCGUUUCUGGUGUUGGCUUCUUUACUAUGUUGCUUACUUUGUGAAGAAUAUGCUCUGGUUUGCUGGAUUGUGAAAAUGAUUUGUAUGUUAUAAGAACGAAUAACAUGUUGAUAAGAUUUCAAGUGAAAAUUGCUUGUUCGAUUUAAGCUCAAGCUUUUUUACAUAAAGAUGAGAUGAUUAUAUAGUC